rnacentral:rRNA from 1 species
CGUACACGUGAGCAACCUUCCGAAAUAUGGGGGAUAGCCGGUCUAACGGCCGAGUAAUACCGCAUACGCUCUCGAUGAGGCAUUUCAUUGAGAGGAAACCUCCGGGGUAUUUCGAGGGGCUCGCGGCCUAUCAGCUAGUUGGCGAGGUAACGGCUCACCAAGGCAACGACGGGUAGCUGGUCUGAGAGGAUGGCCAGCCACAUUGGGACUGAGAUACGGCCCAG